UUCUCUUCGCUGCCUUCUUAUUUUCACCUUGGGGGGUAUAAGCUUUAGAAGUCCUCAUUCUGAUACUGACUUGCCACAUGACUUGGGGAAAUAAAGUUUAAAGAAUAUGUAGAAGAUG